GCCAGAAUUGCUCCUGGCACAUGGAUGCUACUGAAAAACAAGGUUGCUUAUAAAGAAGUCUGCUAAAGUUGGGACAAGUGUCAAAUCUUUACACUUAACCUCAUGCUUCUCCUUUUUUUAGGAUGUCCUCCAACAAAUUGGUGGUGUGGACUGUGGAGUCUUCAUGUUGAUGUAUGCUCUACAUCUUGUUUUGGUUGCACCCUUUGAUUUUACAUCUUGCGACUUUCCAAACAUACAAAUAUGGUGGACUCUUAUUCUUCUGGAGAACUUUGGGGUUUUCUCUGAAAGUAGAGAAACCCUUCAAGACGCUUAGCAGCAGAGGAGCUCCCAGUAAUCCGACACAUGACAGAAGCUGUGAAAUGGCUCCAUUCCAACAGACAUCUGCUCAGGGGCCCAGUGGAAGAGCCUCUUUUCCUUACAAUGGAUGAAGUGGACAAGAAAAAGGCCCUCAACAAUCUCCUGGAACAAUCAGAAGCUUCCAAAGAGCCCUUCACAUUUCAUUUUGUGUUCAGGGAUGACAUGGAGUUAUUUCUGCAGGAAUGUCAUGACAAAAUGGGCCUAAGAGUGAAUUGUUCAUUUGAGGAAUUUUAAUUUAAUUAUUUAUUGUA